AGUCUUAUAUUCAAAAUAAUGAUAUAAAAUUGCAAAUUUUAAGGUAUAUAAAUAUUAUUAAGGCUU
rnacentral:tRNA from 1 species